GGACUAUAGGUGUGUGCCACUGUGCCUGGCUUUUUAAAAAUAUCUUACAUACUCAUUCCCCUUUUGCAAAAUUUCUGGUAUCAGGUUUCCUGAAUUUUUUGUGUCAUAUUGGCCUGUGAAUUCCUCAGCUGUUUAUCCAGACUCACAUUGCAUCUGCAUUAGAUAAUUCUGUGAAAGCUUUCCAAAUGCCAAGUGAUUGACACACAUAAUAUGCCCUCGCUAAAUUUGUCAGUUGGGAGAAUUGUUAAUAUAAGCUUGCUAAUUGUAUGUUGGUUUCUUUUUCCAGAUGAACAGUAAAGAUGUUCAGGAUUGCUCUGAAAGAAUCAUUGAUGUGAUCCUAGUGCUCACUGAAAUUGUCAAGUGCAGGUGAGCACUUGAAAUGUUCCCAAGGAGACAGCUCAUCUGGUUUUUCUCCUGCGUCUCGGGACAGACACUCCUUCUGUCUGUUCUACUGACUCUUCUUGCUCUGGUUGUUGUACUAUCGUAUGUGAAGAGACUCUUAAUUCAGCACCUAUAGCCUUUUGUUGUGCUUUUUUGAUGUGUCUGCCUUCUUCAUUAGACUAUAUCUUUGAGAGCGAAGACUAUUUUUCCUUACUCUUUUGCAUAUCCUGCAUCUGAGACACUACUUGAAAUAUGGUUGGCUUCACUGAAGGUCUUUGAUUCAGUUAAUAUUUUGUAAUCCCUGUGUGGCAAAACAUUCCCCUUCCAAUCUGGUGCUAGUAGAGUACAUUCGUUCUAGGCACCAUGGUGUAGCUUUUGUGUAUCAGGUGUUUCAGAAACAUUUCCAGGCAGUUGUGAGAUGUUCAAGGCCAAGAAUUGUUAAUCAUAUUUCUAUAUCAUACCACACAGUGGCUGGCACAGUUUUACAAUUAUUCCAUCGCUUAGAGAAACAUUUUGUAGAAUCAGUCCUUCAUGUAACAACUUCAGUGUUUUUGUACUGUUAUUAAUUUGCUUAACAUUUUAUUCAGAAAAUCACUUGCUGUAAAGGUAAUUGUAAAAAUAAAUACAAUGCACACAAGAUAAUAUUGUGAGUUUUAUAAAAAUAGAUCUUAAAGUAAUAUACAGAUAAUACAUUUAAUUUUUUGCAAUGCCCUAACCACUUCUUACAUGUCAUCUUAACAUCUCUUUGAGGAAAAGCUUUUUUUUUUCAUCUUACAGAUUCAAUAUACUCUAUUAUUUAAUGCCAGGGCCAAGAAAGACCACAGCAUAGCCAGUUUCCAAAGUUAAUUAUGCCAUGAAGUUUGCCUACAUUUCUUUUGCCUCUCACUGUUUCAGUUGGUCAUAGUUUUCAUUCCUUUCCCAGUACACUCAGCUAACUCCUCAUCCCACCUAGUUUCUACAUCUGCAGUGUUGAGAGACCACACUGUUGUCACUUAGAAAAGGCGUUUGGGAAAGAGACGUCUGUAAUAAGGGAACACAGUAUGAAGGAUUUUAAAGGGAAGACUUGGGUCAGCCACUUCCAGAACAACAUUAGGACAGAGACAGUUUAGAGGAGAAAUAUCAUUGUGUUUUGCUAUGGAGUGUGUGACAUCAGCACUCUUCCCCAGCUCCUUACAAGAGUCCCAAUAUGGCUGUAAUGUGAUGGUUUGCUUUAUUAUUCUUUUGCAUUAUAAAACAAUUACAUUGGGAAAAGCGUGGACUCUUUAAUAGUGUUAACAUCCUUCCUCAUGGUACCAGUGAAAUGUGUUGAUUGUGUCCCCAGAUUUUACAGAAUUUGAAAUAAAAACACAUAUUUCUGAUAUAUUGGUUAUUUUAGCUGUGAUAUGGUACUGUGGUUAUUUUUUUUAAAAUGCUUAUCUUUUAGACAAAUGUACUAAAAUUUCUAGAUGAUAUGCUACUGGUAUUUGCUUCAAUAUAAUUUGAGGGUGGGGUAGGCAAGUGCAUAGAUGAAACAAGAUUGGCUCUGACUUGAUAAUCGUUAAAGCUGUAUGAUGGAUGCUUGAGAAUUCGCUAUCCUAUUCUCUAUACUUUUGUAUAUGUUUGAAAUUUUCCAUAAUAAAAAUU
rnacentral:lncRNA from 1 species